rnacentral:lncRNA from 1 species
UGUGUAUGUGGCUCUGUGGAUCUGUGCUAUGUUCAUGAGGUACCAUAUUCUGCAUUUAAACCAAGUGCACACUGGUACACAAAUUUCUCUCUCUCUCUCUCUCUCUCUCUCUCUCUCUCUCUCUCUCUCUCUCUCUCUCUCUCUCUCUCUCUCUCUCUCUCUCUCUCUCUCUCUCGCUCUCUCUCUCUCUCGCUCUCAUCUGUUUAAUGGAUUUUUUUUUGGGGAAGAAGCCAAAUCUUUGCAGCCGGCGGAUGCUACACCCAACAAACCAGUGGCCAUAUUUUGUAGCCAUUAUCUGCUUGUGAUAAGAUAUAACGGCUGCGCGUGUGAUCUCAAUCGCCUGCUCGCGUACACCAGGAGGCGGGAGCAGCUCGAGCGGCUAGGGAACCCACAGCCAGGAGAUAAAAGCGUGCGUGGGAGGGACUGGAUAAGCUCCCCUCGCAGCUAACACCACAGCAACGGGGCGGGUGAAUAUAAACACAUUCUGAUUAAACUCAGAGCCUGCUGAUAGCCACCAUGUUUCAACGAGGAGAGGACGAGGCGGGAUAAAUGAAAUGAACGGAGUAAGUCGCUGCUUCUUCUUUUUUCUUUAUUUUUUACGCCAGCAUGGAUUGUAAUAUUUGAUUCAGCAGUAUUGGCAUACUACCUUAUGAACAUUAUUCUUAUUAUAAUUAUUGCAAACGAGUGGGCCUACAUAAUGUAUCGUAUGCCAAAGGCUUAAAGCUUUCGACCGUUGUUGAACUUGGAAGUGGGCUACACUUCUCUCUGCGUUCAAGUCACAUAGACACGCAUGCAGGCUAGAUUAUGUGCGUUUCAAAAUAAGGAUCCUGGUGGAUGAAGCCUAUAAUCUCGGUUUACGUGGGUCGUUUUCUAAAUUGGAUACCCAUUAAUGUUGGCUACUCACAGUGCUUAAAGCGCAUUUACCUAACGACCCGUGGAUUUAUAUAAAACAAGCUGACAGAACUAUCAGUCUAGCCCUUUAACACUACAGUGUAGCUGUGUGUGCACACCUUAUAGCCUACAUUAAACGAUGCCAAGACACUUUGCAACGAUGUUGCAAUUAAAGUUGUUUAUUUUUAACGCAAAACUUAUCUUCCGUUAUCAGGGAAUGGUGUGGACGAUGCUGUGCUGAGGACACAUUGAGAGUGAG